rnacentral:tRNA from 1 species
GGGAAUAUAUCUUAGUGGUAAGGAGCUUGUCUAGUGUACACAAAAGCCUGGGUUCAAUUCCCAGUACUUA